UACGUAGGGUGCAAGCGUUAUCCGGAAUUAUUGGGCGUAAAGAGCUCGUAGGCGGUUUGUCGCGUCUGCUGUGAAAACCCGAGGCUCAACCUCGGGCCUGCAGUGGGUACGGGCAGACUAGAGUGCGGUAGGGGAGAUUGGAAUUGCCUGGUGUAGCGGUGGAAUGCGCAGAUAAUCAGGAGGAACACCGAUGGCGAAGGCAGAUCUCUGGGCCGUCAACUGACGCUGAGGAGCGAAAGCGUGGGGAGCGAACAGG
rnacentral:rRNA from 1 species